UGUACGUCAUUGCGAGGUCGAGAAGUGGUGCCAUCUUGUUCGCCAUAUCGUGCUUGUGCAACACUCGAUAAAGCAGAGUGAGACAGUUCGUGUGAUGUGACAAUGAACGGGCCGUGAUUCUAAUGCAGUACGAAACAGGCAUCGUAGUACGAAAAUAAACAGAACACCUCGUGUUUACGGUAGUCCGUAACAGGUGUUUUUCACCCCCUUUGCCCCCAUCUCUUCUGCUCUCACAGUCUCCUCCGCCCUCCGUCAGGGCGAUAGAGAAGGGGACAGAAAUGCAAGCAAGCAAGCAAGCAAGCCUGUCCAUUCGCUUACGUAGGCAUUCGUCUCGCGUUCUUCGCGCAAACUCGUGAGCCGUUUCGGUCACGGAUGUUUGAGUCCUUGGAUACUGAGCACGUUCGCAAGGCACUCCUGAGAACAUAAACUCUUCGGAUUUGAAGUAUUCCGCUUUUUCAUCGUCGAUAGAACGUUGGAUAUCUAAAAUUUCGAACCUCAGUCUUCGAAUUUUUCGAAGAAUAAACAAUUAUAUGAAUUUUUACGUUAAUUUACGAGGAAUUCAACAACAAAAAUUCCAUUAUUGGAAUUUCUGAAUUUCUGACCAUGUAGAUUACUUGAUCUCUCUUUCUGGAUUCUAAUAUAAAAUGUUCUCAACACAAAGACAUAAGAGACUGCUUAUUCGAAAGGAUUCUAACGUGAGAGUAUACGUAUGCUUGAAAGUAUCACUCUCGAAAGUGAUUCUCGGUAAUGAAAAUCGCCAGUGGAGAAUGUUGAGGAUUACUUUCACAACUCUAUAAGAAAAUACAAGCAAGCAAACCAGCGAACUAAAUCUAUUUUUAAUCAAAGGGACAAGUUGAAAAAAAAUCAAACAUCUUUUUAAAUGGAAGGUGCAUUACCAGGUGCAAGCGGUUUAAAGUUAUUUUGUAAUAAAAAGUCCAUAAAACACAGGGAGAAGAAGUCCUCCAUGAAGCUUUCCUAAGCACCUGCACAGGUCUCGAGAAUCCAAAGACUCAAUGCGACCGUGAAAUUCGAAGAGUUUAUUCUUCAAGAAUGUUGCGACGCGCGACGGAAUGGAGCUGUGAAUAAUUCAGCGGUCGCGACGACGGCGAUUCGACGAAUCGACGCUGACGGUGACGAUCUACAAACAUGUGCCGGAGUCAAAGGACAAAGAUUGCGCCGCACGCGCGAUCGGCUGGGGGAUGCCAUACAGUUUGCGCUAAUGAACCAGCAAGCCUUUGUGCUGUUUUUAUUCUCUUACGUCAUCAAAUCCAGCAGCGACGGCGAUGGUGGCGGCGGCGGCGCGACCUGGCCGCGUUCUCGUACAGCACGUAGGACGGCUUGCGAGGCGCAGCGAAAGACCGACCUCUCGCGGGCCAUUCUGGAAGCAGAGAAGCGCAGAACACGUGGUUUUCCGUAGGCAGCAAGCAGAUGAGCGUAGAACAUGUGGUUUUGUAUUAUUGCGGUCCGUACCAUCGCACGUACUUCUUUUCUACAUUAUUCAUAUUAAGGGAUCCGUCAGAGUUAGUUUCGGUUCAAGCCACUUUCCAGGAUUACGACUGCAUUUCGAAGGAAAGGAAGAUUUAUCAUGCAUCAAAAUUGAGGAAACACUAAAGAGCCCGUCGUAUGGAAGAUCUUCUCGAACACACACACACAUAAUGAGCACUUUUCUAAAUUCACCUUC